rnacentral:lncRNA from 1 species
AACGGGAUAUGAUACCAUGUUAAGCUAGAUGAAUUUAUAACCUAAAACCAAUUGGUGAUAAGUGAAUUGACUCAUCUCUCUUAUAUAUUACUAAGUAUCUCUUCCAACUACCGAUGUAGGACACUUAGUAGUGUCUAAUAAUGCUUGACUUUUUUCUUCUUCAUCCUCUUUUUUUUUUGUUAUUUUAGAAUAUAAAAAUUUGACAUGAAGUAGUUAAACAUCUCUAAAAGUUUUU